rnacentral:rRNA from 1 species
ACGAAGAGAGAUUUAGUUUACUAAUGAUCUCUUAGUGGCGGACGGGUUAGUAACGCGUGAGCAACUUGCCUCAAAGAGGGGGAUAGUCCUGGGAAACUGGGUUUAAUACCGCCUGUGCUCUUCGGAGUAAAGCUGGCUUCGGCUGGUGCUUUGAGAUAGGCUCGCGUCCUAUCAGCUAGUUGGUGAGGUAACGGCUCACCAAGGCGACGACGGGUAGUUGGUCUGAGAGGACGAUCAGCAACACUGGAACUGAGACACGGUCCAGACACCUACGGGUGGCAGCAGUCGAGAAUCAUUCACAAUGGGGGCAACCCUGAUGGUGCAACGCCGCGUGGAGGACGAAGGCCCUAGGGUCGUAAACUCCUGUCAUAUGAGAGUAAGACAUAUUAGUUAAUAGCUAGUAUGUUUGAUAGUAUCAUAAGAGGAAGGGACGGCUAACUUCGUGCCAGCAGCCGCGGUAAUACGAAGGUCCCGAGCGUUAUUCGGAAUCACUGGGCGUAAAGGGAGCGUAGGCUGCGUGGUAAGUCAGAUGUGAAAUCUCAGGGCUCAACCCUGAAACUGCAUCCGAUACUGCCACGCUAGAGUAAUGGAGGGGUAAGUGGAAUUCUCAGUGUAGCAGUGAAAUGCGUAGAUAUUGAGAGGAGGACCAACGGCGAAGGCAGCUUACUGGACAUUUACUGACGCUGAGGCUCGAAGGCUAGGGUAGCGAAAGGGAUUAGAUACCCCUGUAGUCCUAGCAGUAAACGAUGUGCGCUUGGUGUGGGCAGGUUCGACCCUGUCUGUGCCGGAGCUAACGCGUUAAGCGCACCGCCUGGGGAGUACGGUCGCAAGACUAAAACUCAAAGAAAUUGACGGGGACCCGCACAAGCGGUGGAGUAUGUGGCUUAAUUCGAUGCAACGCGAAGAA